UGGAUCUACAGUCACAGCACCACAGGCUUAACUCGCGACAUAUGUGCCACCCUUUUAUCUUUGUCUGUGUAAGAGCCCCCUUUCCCUGUCACAUCGGCAAAGACUGAAGAUAGACACGUGCUACUUACUGCUUGGAAGUUGAGAAAUUCUGCAGCUGACGUGACCAGAAAGGAGCAUUUGUUCAUCGCUAGACCUGCCAGCGUGGAAUUUGGCUCUUUAAUCAAAGUCUAGGGUUUGGGCUCCGGUUUCUAAAUGAGGCCGAGGGGAGGGGGGACCGACCCGAAUGCCAUCGCAUUGCAGUUCCCUGCCACCGUAAUGGGUCGACGCGGCAUCAGAACAGAGUGUCACUGGCCAGCCGGCCCGGCGGUUCAUCCCCUCCGAGAUGAUCUGAGGGCGGGGCCGAUAAUAGAUGAAGCGACAUAGAGUCGGGGGGGAGGGCAUUAGUCUGCACAAUAGGAGUCCACGCUGUUAAUCUUUCCCACUGACUUUUAUAAGUGCCUCUAUUUAAUUACUUGUGAGAGGUGAUUCUGACACUUUCAGGGGUUUAAUUAUUUCAGUUAAUACAUGUGGAAAAAGACUGGUAGAAAGAUCCCAUGAAAAAAUAUAAUUACACAAGCUUGUAGACAUUCUCUCCUAUCUAUUUUGUGUUAUGUAUCUUUUUUUUUCGUUAGUAAGGUGUUAUGGAAACAAACAAAAAAAGUAAAUAAUGUGGAGUUUGGUCACUUUUCGUUAUGUCUAUCCAAAAUGAUAAAAUGGAAUAAUUACUUUUACAGCAACUAUGACAUUUGACUAGAAUAGCUAUAAGAACCCAUCAACUGUAAUCAGAAACUACAACAUCUACUUCCAGGAUACAGUCAUUCCAGUAAUUAAAUAACGUGUGAACUUAAAAAUAACAAUAUGGGCCCUUUCAUAAUACACUGAAACAAUUAACAAAUAAAAAUGCAUUUAAAUGUCUUUAAUUAA